rnacentral:misc_RNA from 1 species
GAUGAAGAACGUAGCGAAAUGCGAUACGUAAUGUGAAUUGCAGAAUUCAGUGAAUCAUCGAGUCUUUGAACGCACAUUGCGCCCCCUGGUAUUCCGGGGGGCAUGCCUGUCCGAGCGUCAUUGCUGCCCUCAAGCACGGCUUGUGUGUUGGGCCUCCGUCCUCCUCCCGGGGGACGGGCCCGAAAGGCAGCGGCGGCACCGCGUCCGGUCCUCGAGCGUAUGGGGCUUCGUCACCCGCUCUUGUAGGCCCGGCCGGCGCUUGCCGACACAUCAAUCUUUGUUCCAGGUUGACCUCGGAUCAGGUAGGGAUACCCGCUGAACUUAAGCAUAUCAAUAAGCGGAGGA